rnacentral:lncRNA from 1 species
CUUUGGAAAGUCACUAACUGAUUGAGGUUCUUGCCUUUCACCUAUAAGGCAGUAUUCUUCUAUUCCAAUGCCAUGUUACAGAACAAUGCUUAGUGAAUUUGGACCCUUCCGUCCCCACCAAUGUUUCAGCGACGAAGGAACGAGAGCAUUGAGCUCACAGUGCGUAUCCCAAACCUCAGGUGUUAUGGACCAGAGACAACACCACCCUCGCUGGGGAUAUGGUAUCCUUGACACCAAACACAUGUCUAAGACCAGGUACCCAUCAUACAUGUCAUUGACAUCCCAACAGAAUUUGAUUAUGAUGACAAUCAAUACAUAAGCCCCAUGAUAAAUACCUAGAAGCAGACACAUUUCUGUUGUUCACUAACAUGGACAAUAAAGUUGUAUUGAUAUUGAUUGUGUUAUUUUCCUUUUGACCUUUGACUUCCAGUUACCUCAGUACUCUUAUCUUGGUAAGGGUCAGGAUGGACAGAUGGGUGUCUACACCGUCCAGGUGGCCAAUGGAGAUGACGUCAAAGAGAUCACCUUUGACCUGCAGGUCAUUGGUAAGAUACAUAAAUACACAGCUGAGAUAUAAUUAUCCGCUCUGGAGCAUUAGACGUGUCUACAUUACAGACGGGGUCACUAUUCAGUCAUACAUUUUCCUUUAUUGAGUUAUCACAUUGGAAUAUAAAGGAUGGUGAAUAGUUUAUUUCUAGUCAUAAAACAAUGGCCUACCAAUGUUUCCAUACUUACUUUUCACAUUCUCAUGGGAUAUUUCCUCUCCCUGCAGCUCCCCCGAAGAUAGUAGAUCUGUCUAACCAGCACAUGGACCAGGGCCACGGUGUGCUCUGUGUCACAGAUGGGGCCCCCACACCCACUGUUCACUGGUACAGCUGUGAAACCAAUGGAAAAUGCAGUCGUAAGACCACAGCAUGGAAGCACUCUUCUGGCUGACCCAGACAACGGCAGCAUCCAGAUGAGCGUGAGACACAUUGAGACCUCAGCAGUCUACCAGGUCCGCAGCCUGUUGACCUUUCAGGCCAUGAACAGUGUUAUGUCAGUACGCUGUGAAGCCCGACAACGACAGAGGUCACAGGGCCUGGGACAUCAAACUAAUCUCCAACUGUAAGCAUUGACUCGGCAUGGAUUGAAGUCAAGGACUAUGACACAAUGAAAAUAAGUAUUUACAGUAACUAUCAAC